UGCGUAGGCGGGCUCGCAAGUGCUUUGUGAAAUCCCAUGGCUUAACCAUGGAAUUGCUUGGCAUACUGCGGGCCUUGAGGUCGGUAGAGGCUGCUGGAACUCUAGGUGGAGCGGUGAAAUGCGUAGAUAUCUAGAGGAACGCCGAUGGUGAAGACAGGCAGCUGGGCCGAUUCUGACGCUGAGGCACGAAAGCGUGGGGAGCGAACGGGAUUAGAUACCCCGGUAGUCCACGCCCUAAACGAUGUACACUAGAUCGCGGAGGCUCUGACGCUAUCGUGAUCGAAGAAAAAUUGCUAAGUGUACCGCCGUGGGGAGUACGGUCGCAAGGACUAAA
rnacentral:rRNA from 1 species